UACAGAGGUCCCAAGCGUUGUUCGGAUUCAUUGGGCGUAAAGGGUGUGUAGGUGGCGCCGUAAGUCGGGUGUGAAAUUUCGGAGCUUAACUCCGAAACUGCAUUCGAUACUGCGGUGCUUGAGGACUGGAGAGGAGACUGGAAUUCAUGGUGUAGCAGUGAAAUGCGUAGAGAUCAUGAGGAAGACCAGUGGCGAAGGCGGGUCUCUGGACAGUUCCUGACACUGAGACACGAAGGCCAGGGGAGCAAACGGG
rnacentral:rRNA from 1 species